rnacentral:rRNA from 1 species
UAGGGAAUCUUCCGCAAUGGGCGAAAGCUUGACGGAGCAACGCCGCGUGAGUGAUGAAGGUCUUCGGAUCGUAAAACUCUGUUAUUAGGGAAGAACAAAUGUGUAAGUAACUAUGCACGUCUUGACGGUACCUAAUCAGAAAGCCACGGCUAACUACGUGCCAGCAGCCGCGGUAAUACGUAGGUGGCAAGCGUUAUCCGGAAUUAUUGGGCGUAAAGCGCGCGUAGGCGGUUUUUUAAGUCUGAUGUGAAAGCCCACGGCUCAACCGUGGAGGGUCAUUGGAAACUGGAAAACUUGAGUGCAGAAGAGGAAAGUGGAAUUCCAUGUGUAGCGGUGAAAUGCGCAGAGAUAUGGAGGAACACCAGUGGCGAAGGCGACUUUCUGGUCUGUAACUGACGCUGAUGUGCGAAAGCAUGGGGAUCAAACAGG